UUCGUCUUCAACCUCUCACUCCAUCUUUCCCAUCCAGAAAAACUAGGGUUUCGAGAACCAGCCGCCGCCGCCAUGGGGAGAAGACCCGCUAGAUGCUACCGCCAGAUCAAGAACAAGCCCUACCCGAAAUCCCGCUCUGCCGCGGUGUGCCAGACCCGAAGAUCCGAAUCUAUGACGUCGGCAUGAAGAAGAAGGGCGUCGACGAGUUCCCCUUCUGCAUCCACCUCGUCUCCUGGGAGAAGGAAAACGUUUCCAGCGAGGCUCUCGAGGCGGCGCGAAUUGCAUGCAACAAGUACAUGACCAAGUUCGCCGGCAAGGAUACCUUCCACCUGAGGGUUAGGGUUCACCCCUUCCAUGUCCUCCGAAUCAACAAGAUGCUUUCGUGCGCCGGAGCCGAUAGGCUUCAGACUGGUAUGCGCGGAGCUUUCGGGAAGCCGCUAGGUACUUGCGCUAGGGUUGCUAUUGGACAGGUCCUGCUCUCUGUGCGUUGCAAGGAAAGCAACAAGAGCCACGCCGCUGAGGCCCUCCGCCGUGCCAAGUUCAAGUUUCCAGGCCGCCAAAAGAUCAUCGAGAGCAGAAAAUGGGGAUUCACCAAGUUCAACAGAACUGACUAUGUGAGGUUGAAGUCUGAGGGUCGUAUCAUACCUGAUGGUGUCAAUGCCAAGCUUUUGGGAUGCCAUGGAUCUUUGGCAUUGCGUCGCCCUGGUGGAGCAUUCAUUGAUGCUGCUGUGAACUGAUUUCGCGCAAUCCAACUUCCGCUGGGAAUUGUAUUCGUGUAAUCCAAACUUCGUUUCUGUUCUGAUUUCCGCUUACUAGAUUACGUGUUUGAACAAGUUUUUGGAGAUGUUAUCCUUAAGCAUUUGUUUAAGUUGUUAUAAUUUUGGGCAAACUUACUUCGGAGUUGAAUUUCAUAUUUUGAGUAAUGUCUUUUGGUUAGAUUCAAUGUUACAAGAAUGGUGUUCUUUUAACAA